AACAGUUCAGAUCGCAUCGUGUAACAAGGGGAAUUCGUAGCCUCUAAUUGGAGGAGUUUGUGGUGAGCUAAACAAGAUAAACCGAUACAAGUGCCCCGUGAGAUAAGCCGGCUUCGCCUCCGUAAUUGACCAAAUUGAAAAGUGAAGAGCCUUCUCGUAGACGGAUCAUCCAGAUUCCUCAGUUGAUUGCUGAUUCCAGACAGAUAGGGACACUAGCCUGCGAGCAAGGUCCAGAAAACAGCUGGCCCGAGAAGGAAGGUCACCAACCAUGGAAUAUAAUUAGUACGCCACUUAUGGACCGCCAGGCCGGCUAUGGGUCCACAGAAAACAUGCUCGCUACGUGGCACACACGGUGGAAGUACUUGGAAAUCGGCCUUUGUGCGAACACGUGCGAACUCACGGACGACCGUGUUUCCUUCUUCAACUGGGCCUCCUUCCUUCCUCCUGCACGGCCACGAAAGGAACACUGGGAAAUGGUUGACGGACGGUCGGAAAAACUUUCAAGGGGAACCAGCUUUUUUUCUUUUUUCUUUUUUCAGAAACGUUUAACACGUGAAGGCCUUCCUGUUGCUCCCUUUAUCGGACCAUCCAGUUUAUUUAAUCGCUGCAAGCAACGACUCGGCAUUUUCCGCGUACCGCAUAUCGUUUGAAGGAUGUAGCAAUCGUGAGCGCGUAUAAUUAUAUAGCCGCGCGUUAAAGCAUUUGCAUCAGACGCAGAUACAUCGGUUCAAUUCGCUUAAUCAUUGUCAGGGAGGUGGUUAUAUCCGCUCGUAAUAGUUCCAUAUAUAGGAAUAUUUUUCAUAGCAUUAACAUACGCUAUGAAUAUCUUUCAUAGUCGACACUUAUUCGGAAUACGAUUAUUUCCUUCUGAUCGACAUCGGUCUGAAGAAGAGGGAAAAGGAUCCGAUAGAAACCGUGUAUAUCCUUCGAGUCCUUCGAGGAUGCAAAUGGAUUAACCAUAGCGAAAGAUCGUCCAAAGGUUUAAGAAACAACGAAAGAUCGUCCAAUUAACUUUCCGCCUUUUAAUUGAAUCUUAUCCCCUUUCUCGCUCGGUUCGCCCAGUUUCGUCGAGCUUCUCUCCAGUUAAUCGUAAAAGUCAAAAGUUUGCUCGAGAGUAGCUUCGACAAAGGUAAUUGAAAUCUCGAGUACACGGGACGAUUAAUUGCGGCUGAGACGAGGAGCAGAACAUUUCGGCGCACGGGGUCGGCUCGGUUUCUUCGACAGCUUGCAAAUUGCCGCGUCGAGUGGCACCGCCGAAUAUCGUGUAAACAGGGACCGUUGGCGAAUGCUCGUCGAGACACGGGGUAUUCUUUCAAAUUUUUCAGACAAUUCGUUCCACCGAUGGAUGAGAACAAGCCUCUGAUGAAAGAAGAGGAGAAGGAAAAAGAAGAAGAAGAGGAAGACGAAGCAAUUCCUUCGGACGUCGAGACGAAGGUACCCAGGUAUUCUUUUUAAGGCGGGACACUUUACUGCUGCUCGUUCCACGCUGGUAAUGGAGAAUCCCCCAGCCGCCCUGAGGAAUUAAUUCGGGGCUAACGCCGAGACACUCCCCGAUAUCGAGUCACUUUGCUCCCACGAAGCCGGCGUUAGUAUCUCGCUCGCCACCCUCUCGGUUAACUUUUCACCGUACUCUCUUGGCCACUUGGACCCGGACCCGGAACCGACGUUUUUCUUCCUUUUUUGUCCCGUUCACUGGAACGAUUUCUAAUUUACCCUCUAAUUUGCUCGUGAUCCUCGAAUCCGUUUCACUAGGUCAUUUAAAACAGAACCGAAAAAAAAAGGAAGUUUCCGUUACUUCGUACAUUAACCCUGGCCGUGUUUUUGGCCACGGUUUUCGCCAUCAAUUGUAUCUUUAAGCGGUCGCGCUCUUUAUUACCGAGAAUCGUAAUUUCCAAGAUAAACAACAAACUCUUGGCGACGUUCCACGCGAAUUAAGAGUGGCUCGGUAUUGCGGAGCUUUUAAUUAGCCUGAAAAAAAAGAAUCGCCAGAAAGUGGCGGCCUAAAUUUUGCAGUUAAAGCUCGCCGCGUUCGAGUGUGCCGAAUAGUGGCGCGAUUACCGUACCGUUUGAAAAAGAUUUAUCGCUUAAGAAACCGUGUCGUCGUUCAAAGUAGCGAGGAAAUCGAGCGGAACGUACGUUUUUACAAGAUUCUUGGCGCGGUUCCUAGUCCUACCACCCCCUGGUCUCCCUCCCAUUCUAUCGCUCGGCUCCGAGAACAUUUACACAGGAAAAUAUCCAGGUAACAAACAGUUUCAUUAAUCAAGCGUUCGAGCAAUUCGUCUGUUUCUCUGUGCAAUUAGAAGCAACCGGCAUUUAACAAUCCAUCUUUCGCAAAGCGUAUUUUUCUCCCCCUAGGGGUAACGCGGGAACGUCGAAGGAAGGGAAUCGAAAAGGGGCAUCGGCAUCGUGGCCCAGGGUGUCGUCUCCUAGAGCAUCUUUAGCAGCGGACGUACGAAGCGCGCGCAAAAGAGAUGAACGCGAGGACGAGGGCGGCCAGCGUCGAGCGAGAGAGAAUGAGAGGGGAAGAAACGACGACCGGGAAAGAGAGGGAAAUUCAAAGAUGGCGCCACGCAUGUACUCGUGAGAGAGAGUGAGGGGUGACGAGCUACGCGAGAGAGACGGUGACUCUCCGCUUCCUUCCCCUCUCGCUUCAACCACGACUGACCGAGCUGAAAGGUCCGAAUCCGAUCGUCGAAUGGUUCAGUAGUGCGCGAGACACAUUUCGUGUAACGUGUUUCGCUUCCUCUCGCUAUUGGCCGAUGAUUCACGAACGUUGCCGCAAAAUUGACGGAGGAUACACCGCGGACCAAUCCCUGAUUCCGUUACAUCAGCAUCCGACUCCGUGGGUCCUCGACGAUUGGCUCUUUUCGCGGAUGCGUUCGUUGAUGUUUCAUCCGUCGUCGUCGUCGUCUCGAGUGCUGCCCGCUAGUCUCAUGUUUCCUGGUGUUAUACUUUCGACCGGUAUAACGUGCGAAUCGAGUGUGUGUGUGCAAUCGUGCUUCCACGAGAGAUUAACGAGAGAAAGAAACCGGGGACGCGACGUACCCUACGUACCGGGCGAUGAGCCCCAGGGAGAGAAAGAAAGGGCGAGGAGAGAAGGAGAGAAGACACACGGGGUAUUUUGGACGCAGAUCGAUCAGCCGCAGCCGCUCUCCGGUUCGCGCCAUGUGACCGGUCAAAGACCAGUCUCUACGGGAUUGGAGGAUCGAUGGCAGUCGUAGACCCUCGUAAACGUAUUCCAGGGAAUUCGAUGAAGUUUUUUGGUAGCUCGGUGAAGAGGUUUCGUGCCCAAAGCCCCUUAUCAUUCUCCUGUCCGGUGUAGAAUUUUUAGACGACUGGACGGAGAACUGAUAAGGGCCCGAGGGUUACAGAAUCAUCG